CCUCUCAAAAACAUCUCACCAUCAUCUAAAAAAAAAUCACCUCUUAACUCCUUAUGCUAAAACGCACACACAACCUUAAUCUUCUUCACCAUUCGAACCUCUCCAACUACACCCAUAACCAACACCACACUAAAAUCAAACCCCCAUAAUUUAUCACAAAAAACAUGUUUUCAUCUUUUACAAAUCUCACACAACAAUGGCUCCAUUAUCACUUAACCUUCCAUCAACCCAUCCCAAAAUAACUUAACUCUCAUUUCUUAUCCCUCUCCACACCGUGAAAUUCCGUACCUUCCAUCAACCCAUCCCAAAAUAACUUAACUCUCAUUUCUUAUCCCUCUCCACACCGUGAAAUUCCGAACGACCGAGACAUACGACAAACCGCCGUCGACCGCC
rnacentral:lncRNA from 1 species